rnacentral:rRNA from 1 species
GACGAACGCUGGCGGCGUGCUUAACACAUGCAAGUCGAACGGAAAGGCCCUGCUUUUGUGGGGUGCUCGAGUGGCGAACGGGUGAGUAACACGUGAGUAACCUGCCCUUGACUUUGGGAUAACUUCAGGAAACUGGGGCUAAUACCGGAUAGGAGCUCCUGCUGCAUGGUGGGGGUUGGAAAGUUUCGGCGGUUGGGGAUGGACUCGCGGCUUAUCAGCUUGUUGGUGGGGUAGUGGCUUACCAAGGCUUUGACGGGUAGCCGGCCUGAGAGGGUGACCGGCCACAUUGGGACUGAGAUACGGCCCAGACUCCUACGGGAGGCAGAAGUGGGGAAUAUUGCACAAUGGGCGGAAGCCUGAUGCAGCAACGCCGCGUGCGGGAUGACGGCCUUCGGAUUGUAAACCGCUUUCGCCUGUGACGAAGCGUGAGUGACGGUAAUGGGUAAAGAAGCACCGGCUAACUACGUG